GUGCUUGCUUCAGUAGUACAUACACUAAAAUUUGAAUAAUACAGAGAUUAGCGUGACCCCUGCACAAGGAUGACCUGCGAAUCAUUGAAGUGUUUCAUAUAUUU
ensembl:snRNA U6 U6 spliceosomal RNA